rnacentral:lncRNA from 1 species
AAGUUUUCAAGUUUUGGCUGGGACAACAAUGGAUGAAGGACUAAGGAGCAACAAGACCCUAAGCUUCAAAAUACCCAAGGCACCCCAAGGUAAUAUUCAAGGAAGAACCAAGCGUCUAAGCUUGGGGAUGCCUCGCAAGGCAUCCCCUCUUUCAUCUCCAUUCUAUCGGUAUGUCACUUGGAGCUCUAUUUCUAUUCAUCACAUGAUACAAGUUUUGCUUGGAGUGUCGUGUAUUAUAGUUUGCUUUUAUUUUAGUUUGCCACAAUUAUUGUUUGAUGGACACACAUAUUUGAGAGAGACACAUGUUCAUCAUAAUUUGUUAGAAUACUCUAUAUUGCACUUAUAUCUUUUGAGCUAGGCAGUUUCUCUAGUGCUUCACUUAUAUCUUUUAGAGCACGAUGGUGUUCAGAUUUAGAUAAAUAAUUGUACUAUCAUGCUUAACUUAAAUGUUUUUGGGAGUCUAAUAAAUAGUAAUGUAAUAUCCAUGUGUUAUAAGAUUAGUCCAAAAAUGAUAAGUAUUCAAGGGGGGCGUAAUAAAAACUUUCAUGUAGCUCACCAUAUAAGAGAACUGUGGGUUAAUUAUAUUGAGUAGUAUAUGGAAGGGCAUGAGUACAUGAUCAUUUGUUAGUAGAAAUAUCGGUAUUAAAGCUUGUUAUUUGUUACUCAUGUAAAUAUUGGUUAUGACAUGGUGAUGAUGUGUGAGCGUUCUUAUACUUGAUGAAAUCCUAUCGUGCUGUCCGAGUGAGGGGCACGCGAUGGUUAAUUCCUAUCAACCUCCUCCCUAUGAGCAUGCAAUAGUACUUUGCUUCGGGAGAGAUAAUAAGGCUUUACAAUAAGUAUGUGAGUUAUUUAUGACUAAUGUGAAUCCAUGGAUAUACGAACUCUCACAUCUUCAUAUUUUGCUAGCCUCCUCAGUAAUGUGCAUUUCCCAUUCUCUCCUCGAGAGUCGGUGCACCUUCGACGGUGCAUCCUAACCCCAUGAUAUCAUAAGCUCUAUAAAACAUAAGACACUCUAUAUAUUCCUCAAAACAGCCACCAUACCUGCCUAUCAUGGCAUUUCCAUAGCCAUUCCGAGAUAUAUUGCCAUGGAACUUUCACUAUUUCGACACAUGACUUGUGUGUUCAUCAUCAUAUUGCUUUGCAUGGUCAUGUAGCUGACAUAGUAUUUGUGGCAAAGCGACCAUUCAUCAUUACCUACAUGUUACACUAGAUCAUUGCACAUCCUAGUACACUCCUAGGGGCAUCCAUAUAGAGUCAUUUUGUAUAUAUUUCAUAUCAAGUUAUAAGUAAAUAAAAGUGUGAUGAUCAUCAUUAUUAGAGCACUGUCCCAGUGAGGAAAGGAUGAUGGAGACUAAACCCCCCCCUCACAAGUCGGGAUGAGACUCCGAACGAAAAAAGGAAAAGAAUAAAAAAUGAGAAAAGAAAGAAGAAAGAAAGAAAAGAUAUAAAAAGGAGAAAUAAAUGAGAGAAAAUAUAGAAGGGCAUUGUUACUAUCUCUUUUUACACACUUGUGCUUAGAGGGACCACCAUGUACUUCAUAUAGAGAGUCUCCUGAGUUUUCAUUUUCAUGUGCUAGUUGGAAUUUGUCGUUUUAGAAGUUGGCUUGUAUAUUACGAUGACGGGCUUGCUCAAAUGCGUGAGGUCUUCAUGGGCAAGAAAGAUGCAUUCACACCCACUUAGCUUUCGUUGAGCUUUUAUACACUUAUAGCUCUAGUGCAUUUGUUUCAUGUCAUCCCUAAUCCUCCCAUUGAAAUCGAUUGAUGGGCAUAUCCAUAGCCCAUUAGUCUGCCUAGUUGACGCGGGACUUCCUUUCCACUUUGACUCCUUUUGAUCUCUACCACCAUACUCUAUUUCACCCAUAUGCUAUAUCCAUGGUUCACACUCAUGUAUUGAGUGAGUUGAAAAUUCUAAAGCGUGUUAGAAAUGUGAUUCAAUUGCAUGACUUGACACCGAGGGGCUCAUGAUUUAUACAUAUGCAGUGAAGAUGGAUUCAUGCCAUGCUAAUAUGAUAAAAUGAGUAGGGAAUAACAUUCUUAAGGAUCAUAUAUUUUGGAUAUGAAUGAUUAUGCUUCUUAUGUUCAUGGAUUUUAUUAUGUUGAUAUCAAUUAAUUCAUCAUUACUAAAAGAUCGUACCUAAAAUAGAUUACAUGUUGGGUAGCAAGUCGCAUCAAAGAUACUAUUUUUAUUAUUUAGCCACUCAAGGACGAGUAGGAAUUAAGCCUGGAGAUGCUAAUACGUCUCCAACGCAUCAAUAAUUUUUGAUUGUUCCAUGCUAUUAUAUUAUCAAUCUUGGAUUUUUUAUAUGCACUAAUACGCUAUUUCAUACUAUUUUUGGGAACUAACCUAUUAACCUAGUGUCUAGUGAGAGUUGGUGUUUUUUGCUUGCUUUUGUUUUACUAGGAAAUCAGUACAAAACAAAGUCCAAACUCUACGAUUUUUUUGAUGAUUUUUUUCUAGACAAAAGAGACCCUCAAAGCUUAAGAAGGAGACGCAAUGACACACGAGGAGACGACAAGGCAACAGGGCACGCCUAGGGGGCAGGCACGCCUUGAUGCCUUGUGUGCCCCUUGUGGCUCCAUCUGACCUAAUUCCACCUUCAUAAAUUCUCUAUUAUUUAUAAACCAAUAGAGCGCCACCCGAAACACUUUUUUCGCCGCCACAACUCUCAGUUCCGCCAUGAUCCCAUCUAGAGAUCUUUUCCGGUGGCCCGCCAGAGGGGGAAUUGAUCAUGGAGGUCAUGUACAUCAACUUUGCUUCCACCAUGAUGAUGUGUGAGUAGUCCACCACAGACCUAUGAGUUCAUAGCUAAUACCUAGAUGGUUUCUUCUCUCUCUUUGAUCUUAAUGAAAAGUUCACCGCGAUUACCGCGGUGAUCUAUCCAAUGUAAUCCUAUUUCGUGGUUGUUUGUUGGGAUCUCAUGAAUUGUGGGUUUAUGAUCAGAUUAUUCAUGAAUACUAAUUGAGUCUUCUUUGAAUUCUUUCAUGCAUGAUUGUUAUAGCUUCAUAUUUCUCUCCGAUCUAUGUGUUUGGUUUGGCCCACUAGAUUGGUUUAUCUUCAGUGGGAGUGGUGUGUUCUAAUGGAUUCAAUCUUGUGGUCCUCAAUCCCAGUGGUAGAAAGAGACAUGGCACAUAUUUGUAUUAUUGACAUUAAUGAGAAAAUGAUAGGGUUUGAACAUAUUUCUGGUCUUACUUUCUCUACAUCAUGUCACCUUGCUCCAAGCAUUACUCUAUUUUAUACUUAAUACUCCAGAUGUGUGCUGGAUGGCGGUCGAUGAGUGGAGUAAUAGUAGCAAAUGCAGGCAGGAGUCGGUCUACUUGUUUAUGGACGUGAUGCCUAUAUACAUGAUCAUUGCCGUGAAUAACAUGUCAUAACGAUGUGCUAUUCUGCCAGUUGCCCAACAAUAAUUUGUUUACCCACCUAAUGCUAUGUUCAAGAGAUAAGCCACUAGUAAAAACUAUGGCCCUCAGGUCUACUUAAAUGGAUUUACUAAAACUCAAUUUACCUUGCUGCAAUUUAUUUAUUUUUAUAUUUAUAUUGUCUAUCUAUUAAUAUUUAAUCCUUGCAAGUAACAAGUUCAAGGGGCUUGGCAACCUUCAUGCCCGCGUUGGGUGCAAGUGUUUGGUUCUGUGUGUGUAGGUGCUCCAAAAAGGGAGAUUGUGUGAGUCUCCUAUUGGUUUGCUAACCUUGGUUCUCACUAAGGAAAAUACUUAUCUCUGUUGUACUGCAUCUCCCCUCCUCUUCGGGGAAAACCCAACAUAGUUUUACAAGUACCAAGAUUGCUUAAUGUUGGGGAACGUCGCAUGGGAAACAAAAUUUUUCCUACGCGCACGAAGACCUAUCAUGGUGAUGUCCAUCUACGAGAGGGGAUUUCCGAUCUACGUACCCUUGUAGAUUGCACAUCAGGAAGCGUUAAGAAAUGCGGUUGAUGUAGUGGAACGUCCUCACGUACCUCGAUCCGCCCCGCGAACCGUCCCACGAACCGUCCCGCGAUCCGUCCCACGAUCCGCUCCGAUCUAGUGCCGAACGGACGACACCUCCGCAUUCAGCACACGUAUAGCUCGACGAUGAUCUCAGCCUUCUUGAUCCAGCAAGAGAGACGGAGAGCUAGAUGAGUUCUCCGGCAGCGUGACGGCGCUCUAGAGGUUGGUGGUGAUCUUAUCUCAGCAGGGCUCCGCCCGAGCUCCGCAGAAACGCGAUCUAGAGGAAAAACCGUGGAGGUAUGUGGUCGGGCUGCCGUGGCAAAGUUGUCUCAAAUCAGCCCUAAUACCUCAGUAUAUAUAGGAGGGAGGGGGGAGGGACCUUCCUUGAGGCUCAAGAGAGCCCCAAGGGGUCGGCCGAAGCAAGGGGGGAAGUCCUCCCCUUCCAAUCAUAGUACAACUAGGAUUGGAAGGUGGAGUCCUUCUCCACUUUCUCACUUCCCCCUUUUUUCUUUUUCAUUUGAUUUCUUUCUCCCCUGCGCAUAGGGCCUCUUGGGCUGUCCCACCAGCCUACUAAGGGCUGAUGUGGCACCCCUAAGGCCUAUGGGAUUCCCCCGGGUGGGCUGCCCCCCGGUGAACAUCCGGAACCCAUUCGUCACUCCAGGUACAUUCCCGGUAAUGCCGAAAACUUUCCGGUAAUCAAAUGAGGUCAGCCUACAUAUCAAUCUUCAUUUCCGGACCAUUCCGGAAACCCUCGUGACGUCCGUGAUCUCACCCGGGACUCCGAACAACAUUCCGUAACCAACCAUAUAACUCAAAUACGCAUAAAAUAUCGCCGAACCUUAAGUAUGCAGACCCUGCGGGUUCGAGAACUAUGUAGACAUGACCCGAGGGACUCCUCGGUCAAUAUCCAAUAGCGGGACCUGGAUGCCCAUAUUGGAUCCUACAUAUUCCGAAGAUCUUUAUCGGUUGAACCUCAGUGCCAAGGAUUCAUAUAAUCCCGUAUAUCCUUUGUCCUUCGGUAUGUUACUUGCCCGAGAUUCGACCGUCGGUAUCCGCAUACCUAUCUCGUUUACCGGCAAGUCUCUUUACUCGUUCCGUAAUACAAGAUCCCGUGACUUACACUAAGUCACAUUGCUUGCAAGGCUUGUGUGUGAUGUUGUAUUACCGAGUGGGCCCCGAGAUACCUCUCCGUCACACGGAGUGACAAAUCCGAGUCUUGAUCCAUACUAACUCAACGGACACCUUCGGAGAUACCUAUAGAGCAUCUUUAUAGUCACCCAGUUACGUUGUGACGUUUGAUACACACAAGGUAUUCCUCCGGUGCCAGUGAGUUAUAUGAUAUCAUGGUCAUAGGAAUAAAUACUUGACACGCAGAAAAACAGUAGCGACAAAAUGACACGAUCAACAUGCUACGUUCAUUUAGUUUGGGUCUAGUCCAUCACAUGAUUCUUCUAAUGAUGUGAUCCCGUUAUCAAGUGACAUCACUUGCCUAUGGUCAGGAAAUCUUGACCAUCUUUGACCAACGAGCUAGUCAACUAGAGGCUUACUAGGGACAGUGUUUUUGUCUAUCUAUCCACACAAGUAUUGUGUUUCCAAUCAAUACAAUUAUAGCAUGGAUAAUAAACGAUUAUCAUGAACAAAGAAAUAUAAUAAUAACUAAUUUAUUAUUGCCUCUAGGGCAUAUUUCCAACAGUCUCCCACUUGCACUAGAGUCAAUAGUAUAGUUCACAUCACCAUGUGAUUUCAACGAAUCCAACACCCAUAUAGUUCUAGGGUCUGAUCACGUCUUGCUCGUGAGAGAGGUUUUAGUCAACGGUUCUGAAACAUUCAGAUCCGUGUGUCCUUUACAAAUAUUUAUGUCAUCUUAUAGAUGCUGCUACUAUGUGCUAUUCGGAAAUACUCCAAAUAUCUACUCUACUAUACGAAUCCGUUUCACUACUCAUAGUUAUUCGGAUUAGUGUCAAAGCUUGCAUCGACAUAACCCUUUACGACGAACUCUUUAACCACCUCCAUAAUUGAGAAAAAUUCCUUAGUCCAUUUAGUUACUAAGGAUAACUUUGACCGCUGAUCAGUGAUUCAAUCCUGGAUCACUCUUUGUACCUCUUAACAGACUCGCUGCAAGGCACACAUACGGUGCGGUACUCAGCAUGGCAUACUUUAGAGUCUACGACUAAGGCAUAGAAGACGACCUUCGUCUAUUCUCUUUAUUCUGUCGCGGUCGGGUUUUGAGUCUUACUCAAAUUCACACCUUACAACACAGGUAAGAACUCCUUCUUUGCUGAUCUAUUUUGAACUCUUUCAAAAACUUGUCAAGGCAUGCAUCUAGUUGAAACUUCUAUUAAGCGUUUCGAUCUAUCUCCAUAGAUCUUGAUGCUCAACGUUCAAGUAGCUCAAUCCAGGUAUUCCUUUGAAAAACUCCUUUCAAGGAACCUUUUAUGCUUCACAGAAAUUCUACAUUGCUUCUGAUCAACAAUAUGUCAACCACAUAUACUUAUCAGAAAUUCUAUAGUGCUCCCACUCACUUCUUUGGAAAUACAAGUUUCUCAUAAACCUUGUACAAACCCAAAAGCUUUGAUCAACUCAUCAAAGCAUAUAUUCCAACUCCGAGAUGCUUGCACCAGUCCAUAGAAGGAUCACUGGAGCUUGCAUACUUGUUAGCAUCCUUAGGAUUGACAAAACUUUCCGGUUGUAUUACAUACAAUCUUUCCUCAAGGAAACCGUCGAGGAAACAAUGUUUUGUCUUCCUAUGUGCAAUAUUUGACAAAUAAUGCAGCAACUACUAACAUAAUUCCAACAGACUUUUAGCAUCGCUACGAGUGAGAAAGUCACAUCAUAGUCAACUCUUUGAUCUCGUCGAAAACAUCUUUGCGACAAGUCAAGCUUUUCUUAAUAGUGACGAUUCACCAUCAUCGUCUGUCUUCCUUAUAAACAUCCAUGUUGACUUAAUAGUCCCACGACCAACAAGUAGUUCUUCCAAAGUCUAUACUUUGUUCUCACAUAUGGAUUCUCUCUCGGAUUUCAUGGCCUCCAUCCAUUUGCCGGAAUCCGGGCCCACCAUUGCUUCUUCAUAACUCAUAGGUUCAUUGUUGUUCAACAACAUGACCUCCAAGACAGGGUUACCGUACUACUCUGUAGUAGUAUGCGACCUUGUUGACCUACGAGGUUUGUAGUAGCUUGAUCCAAUGCUUAAUGAUCACCAUCAUCAGCUUCCACUUCAAUUGGUGUAGGCGCCACAGGAACAACUUCCUGCGCCCUGCUACACAUUGGUUGAAGUGAUGGUUCAAUAACCUCAUCAAGUUCUACCACCCUCCUACUCAAUUCUUUCGAGAGAAACCUUUCCUCGAGAAAGGACCUGUUUUCUAGAAACAAACACUUUGCUUCCGGAUCUGAGAUAGGAGAUGCACCCAACUGUUUUGGAUAUCCUAUGAAGAUGCAGUUAUCCGCUUUGGGUUCGAGUUUAUCAGACUGAAACUUUUUCACAUAAGUGUCGCAGUCCCAAUCUUUCAAGAAAUGACAGCUUAGAUUUCUCUAAACCUCAGUCUAUAAUGUGUCAUCUCAACAGAAUUACGCGGUGCCCUAUUUAAAGUGAAUGCGGUUGUCUCUAAUGCAUAACCCAUAAAUGACAGUGGUAAUUCGAUAAGAGACAUCAUAGUAUGCACCAUAUCAAAUAGGUCGCGGCUAUGACACCAUCACACCAUGGUGUUCUUGGUGGCAUGAAUUGCGAAACAACUUCCACAUUAUCUUAACUGUGUACCAAAACUCGCAACUCAGAAAUUCAUCUCUAUGAUCAUAUCGUAGACAAUUUAUCCUCUUAUUACGACGAACUUCACUCUGAAACAGAAUUGAACCUUUUCAAUAUUUCAGAUUUGUGAUUCAUUAAGUAAAUACUCCUGUAUCUACUCAAAUCGUCAUUGAAACAAGAACACAAUGAUAUCCACUGCGUGCCCCAGCACCCAUUGGACUGCAUACAUCAAAAUGUAUUACUUCCAACAAGUUACUAUCUUGUUUCAUCUCAAUGAAAACAAGGCCUUGCUCAUGUGGUAUGAUUUGCAUGUCACAAGUAAUUCAAAAUCAAGUGAGUAUAAAGAUCCAUCAACAUGGAGCCUCUUCAUGCAAUUUAUACCAUCAUGACUCAAGCGGCAGUGCCACAAGUAAGUGGUACUAUCAUCAUCACCUUGUAUCUUUUGGCACCAAUAUCAUGAACAUGUGUAACACUACGAUCGAGAUUUAAUAAACCAUUGAAGGUGAUUAUUCAAGCAAAUAGAGUAACCAUUAUUCUCUUUAAAUGAAUAAUCGUAUUGCAAUAAACACGAUCCAAUCAUGUUCAUGCUGAACGCAAGCACCAAAUAACAAUUAUUUAGGUUUAACACCAAUCCUGAUGGUAGAGGGAGCAUGCGACGUUUGAUUAUAUCAACCUUGGAAACACUUCCAACACGUAUCGUCACCUCGCCUUUAGCUAGUCUCCGUUUAUUCCGCAGCUUUUAUUUCGUGUUACUAAUCACUUAGCAACCGAACCGGUAUCCAAUACCCUCGCGCUACUAGGAGUACUAGUAAAGUACACAUCAACAUCAUGUAUAUCAAAUAUACUUCUGUCGACUUUGCCAGCCUUCUUAUCUAGCAAGCAUCUAGGGUAGCUCCGCCUCAGUGACCGUUCCCCUCAUAACAGAAGCACUUAGUCUCGGGUUUGGGUUUAAUCUUGGGUCUCUUCAUUAGUGCAUCAACUGUUUUGCCGUUUUACGAAGUAUCCCUUCUAGCCCUUGCCUUUCUUGAAACUUAGUGGUUUUACUAACCAUCAACUAUUGAUGCUCCUUCUUGAUUUCUACUUUUGUAGUGUCAAACAUCACGAAUCGCUCAAGGAUCAUUGUAUCUAUCCUUCAUAUGUUAUAGUUCAUCACGAAGCUCUCACAGCUUGGUGGCAGUGACUUUGGAGAACCAUCACUAUCUUAUCUGGAAGAUUAACUCCCACUUGAUUCAAGCGAUUAUCGUACUCAGACAAUCUGAGCACACGCUCAACGAUUGAGCUUUUCUCCUUUUACUUCGUGGACAAAGAAUCUUGUCGGAGGUCUCAUAUCUCUUAACAAGGGCACGAGCAUGAAAUCACAAUUUCAUCUCUUUAGAACAUCUCUUAUGUUCCUUGACGUUUCAAAACGUCUUCGGCGCCUUGCUUCUAAGCCAUUAAGUAUUUUGCACUGAACUAUCGCAUAGUCAUCACAAACGUGUAUGUCGGAUGUUCACAACAUCCACAGACGACGCUCGAGGUGCAGCACACCGGGUGGUGCAUUAAGGUCAUAAGCCUUCUGCGCAGCAACGAGGACAAUCCUCAGUUUUACAGACUCAGUCCGCAAAGUUGCUACUAUCAACUUUCAACUAAAUUUUCUCUAGGAACAUAUAAAAACUAUAGAGCUAUAGCGCAAGCUACAUCGUAAUUCGCAAAGACCACUAGGCUAUGUUCAUGAUAAUUAGUUCAAUUAAUCAUAUUACUUAAGAACUCCCACUCAAAAAGUACAUCUCUCUAGUCAUUUGAGUGGUACAUGAUCCAAAUCCACUAUCUCAAGUCCGAUCAUCACGUGAGUCGAGAAUAGUUUCAGUGGUAAGCAUCUCUAUGCUAAUCAUAUCAACUAUACAAUUCAUGUUCAACCUUUCGGUCUCUUGUGUUCCGAGGCCAUGUCUGCACAUGCUAGGCUCGUCAAGUUUAACCCGAGUGUUCUACGUGUGCAACUGUUUUGCACCCGUUGUAUGUGAACGUUGAGUCUAUCACACCCGAUCAUCACGUGGUGUCUCGAAACGAUGAACUGUCGCAACGGUGCACAGUCGGGGAGAACACAAUUUCGUCUUGAAAUUUUAGUGAGAGAUCACCUCAUAAUGCUACCGUCAUUCUAAGCAAGAUAAGGUGCAUAAAGGAUUAACAUCACAUGCAAUUCAUAAGUGACAUGAUAUGGCCAUCAUCAAGUGCUCCUUGAUCUCCAUCACCAAAGCACCGGUAUGAUCUUCUUGUCACCGGGGCCACACCAUGAUACCCAUCAUCAUGAUCUCCAUCAUCGUGCCGCCAUCGAGGUUGUCGUGUAAGCUAUGUUAUUACUACUAAAGCUACGUCCUAGCAAUAUAGCAAACGCAUCUGCAAACACAAACGUUAGUUUGAAGACAACCCUAUGGCUCCUGCCGGUUGCCGUAGCAUCAACGUGCAAGACGAUAUUAACUAUUACAACAUGAUCAUCUCAUACAUCCAAUAUAUCACAUCACGUCGUUGGCCAUAUCACAUCACAAGCAUACCCUGCAAAAACAAGUUAGACGUCCUCUAAUUGUUGUUGCAUGUUUUACGUGGUUGCCAUGGGUAUCUAGUAGGAUCGCAUCUUACUUACGCAAACACCACAACAGAGAUGUAUGAAUUGCUAUUUAACCUCUCUCCAAGGACCUCCUCGGUCAAAUCCGAUUCAACUAAAGUUGGAGAAACCGACACUCGCUAGUCAUCUUUAAGCAACGGGGCUGCUCGUAGCGAUGAAACUAGUCUCUCGUAAGCGUACGAGUAAUGUCGGUCCGAGCCGCUUCGAUCCAACAAUACCACGGAAUCAAGAAAAGACUAAGGAGGGCAGCAAGUCGCACAUCACCGCCCACAAAAACUUUUGUGUUCUACUCGAGAUGACAUCUACGCAUGAACCUAGCUCAUGAUGCCACUGUUGGGGAAUGUCGCAUGGGAAACAAAAAUUUUCCUACGCGCACGAAGACCUAUCAUGGUGAUGUCCAUCUACGAGAGGGGAUUUCCUAUCUACGUACCCUUGUAGAUCGCACAACAGGAAGCGUUAAGAAACGCGGUUGAUGUAGUGGAACGUCCUCACGUCCUUCGAUCCGCCCCGCGAACCGUCCCACGAACCGUCCCGCGAUCCGUCCCACGAUCCGCUCCGAUCUAGUGCCGAACGGACGGCACCUCCGCGUUCAGCACACGUACAGCUCGACGAUGAUAUCGGCCUUCUUGAUCCAGCAAGAGAGAUGGAGAGGUAGAUGAGUUUUUUGGCAGCAUGACGGCGCUCCGGAGGUUGGUGGUGAUCUUAUCUCAGCAGGGCUCCGCCCAAGCUCCGCAGAUAUGCGAUCUAGAGGAAAAACCGUGGAGGUAUGUGGUCGGGCUGCCGUGGCAAAGUUGUCUCAAAUCAGCCCUAAUACCUCAGUAUAUAUAGGAGGGAGGGGGAGGGACCUGCGUUGAGGCUCAAGAGAUCCCCAAGGGGUCGGCCGAAGCAAGGGGGGAAGUCCUCCCCUUCCAAUCCUAGUCCAACUAGGAUUGGAAGGUGGAGUCCUUCUCCACUUUCCCACUUCCCCCUUUUUUCUUUUCUUUUUCAUUUGGUUUCUUUCUCCCCUCCGCAUAGGGCCUCUUGGGCUGUCCCACCAGCCCACUAAGGGCUGGUGUGGAACCCCUAAGGCCUAUGGGCUUCCCCCAGGUGGGCUGGCCCCCCCUGGUGAACAUCCGGAACCCAUUCGUCACUCCCGGUACAUUCCCGGUAAUGCCGAAAACUUUCCGGUAAUCAAAUGAGGUCAUCCUAUAUAUCAAUCUUUGUUUACGGACCAUUCCGGAAACCCUCGUGACGUCCGUGAUCUCAUCCGGGACUCCGAACAACAUUCGGUAACCAACCAUAUAACUCAAAUAAGCAUAAAAUAUCGCUGAACCUUAAGUGUGCAGACCCUGCGGGUUUGAGAACUAUGUACACAUGACCCGAGGGACUCCUUGGUCAAUAUCCAAUAGCGGGACCUGGAUGCCCAUAUUGGAUCCUACAUAUUCCGAAGAUCUUUAUCGGUUGAACCUCAGUGCCAAGGAUUCAUAUAAUCCCGUAUAUCAUUCCCUUUGUCCUUCGGUAUGUUACUUGCCCGAGAUUCGAUCGUCGGUAUCCGCAUACCUAUUUCAAUCUCGUUUAUCGGCAAGUCUCUUUACUCGUUCCGUAAUACAAGACCCGUGACUUACACUAUGUUACAUUGCUUGCAAGGCUUGUGUGUGAUGUUGUAUUACCGAGUGGGCCCCGAGAUACCUCUCCGUCACAGGGAGUGACAAAUCCCAGUCUUGAUCCAUACUAACUCAACGGACACCUUCGGAGAUACCUGUAGAGCAUCUUUAUAGUCACCCAGUUACGUUGUGACGUUUGAUACACACAAGGUAUUCCUCCGGUGCCAGUGAGUUAUAUGAUCUCAUGGUCAUAGGAAUAAAUACUUGACACACAGAAAAACAGUAGCAACAAAAUGACACGAUCAACAUGCUACGUUCAUUUAGUUUGGGUCUAGUCCAUCACAUGAUUCUCCUAAUGAUGUGAUCCCGUUAUCAAGUGACAACACUUGCCUAUGGUUAGGAAACCUUGACCAUCUUUGAUCAACGAGCUAAUCAACUAGAGGCUUACUAGGGACAGUGUUUUUGUCUAUGUAUCCACACAAGUAUUGUGUUUCCAAUCAAUACAAUUAUAGCAUGGAUAAUAAACGAUUAUCAUGAACAAAUAAAUAUAAUAAUAACUAAUUUAUUAUUGCCUUUAGGCUUCAAACUUCUGGUUGUGUUAGCUAGUGCAUGAAGCUACAUGGUGGUAGAGAUAAGGUCUCAAGUUCAAGUCUUGGCUUUCGCAAUUUAUCAAAAUAUUGUCGUUGCCCCCUUUAUGUCCACAAAUAGGCCUCUUGUGCCAUAUCUCAAAGUCCAUCCAUGCAUGUGUUGACUUCUUGCCUCACACAUGAGAGGGGGUGAAGUGUAUAUGUGGAUUGCAUAGCCCUUUUUGCUAGCUAGGACUUUUGGUUGUGUUUUCUAGUGCAUGAAGCUUAACAUGGUACCAUGGCCUAAAGUCUCGUAUUCAAGUCUCGACUUUCGCAAUUUAUCAAAAAACUCUUUCUCCUCCCCCAUUGUGUCCAUGUAUAGGCCUCCUGAGCCACACAUAUGAGUCUAUUCACAUGUUGACUUUCCACUUCACACAUGAGUCUAUUCACGUGUUGACUUUUCACUUCACAUGUGUGAGGGGGGGGUGUUAAAGUGUAUAUGGGGAUUGCCUAGCUCUUUGCAUUAGUUUGGACUUUCAUUUCCACUCUCGAGAGCAUGAAUCUUAAGAGAUAUUUUGCUUCUUUGCGUGUUUUACUUCAAAUUAAGGUUUUGCACUAUAAUUUAGUUUCUUAAUAGACCUUGUGCAGCUGUUUAUUUUGCGUGAUGCAUUUGUCUAGUCAGUCACAUAUAGUAGGGUACAAUAUUUCUAAACAAGCAAAUUGUCCUCAUCCAUAUAUUAACAAUUUACAAUAGAUUAUCUCGCAUACAAGAAACGAUACAAUGGGUAAGGCACUAUUAUUGUUGAUAGAUUGCUGCUAAAGCGAUCGGUCUAGGUUUGACUCAUAUUGGUUGUUGUGAAAUUUCUCAGUUAUCCUUGGAUUUUCGAGUUGAAUUAUUCAUGGAUUUUUGAGUUGAUCUAUUGAUUGGAUGUCUAGUUGUAGUUAGAUAAUUCUACUAAGUUGUUGGUAAAACAUCAUAGAAUUAUUUUGAAUUUAUUGCGCACAUAUUGCACAUAUCCUUGAUAUAUUAGGGGUACACCUGUAAUUUGCUAGCAUAGUUGUUCGGCCUUGUAGCUGUUUGUAGGAUAUGUAGUUAUGCAGUAAUUAUACUCUGAAGUUCAUGUUUGUCUAAUGUAUUGAGUCAUCCAAGACUUAACCAACAUGUUAUUACAUAUAUUCCCAAUGGUUCUUAAGACCUGGUAGAUCUUCUAAUAUAUUUGAGUUGGGAGUUAUACUAAAAUGUAGCAAUGUGCGGUUUGUCAAUAAUUUGAUUAGCUUAUUCUAGGGGAUUGUUAGUAACACUUUCAUCUCUCAUGUACUCCCUCCAUCGCAUAAUUUAAGAUGUUUUUUGCAAGCUAAAAUAGAUUUUGAAAAAUGUCUUAUAUUAUGGGACAGAGAGAGUUCUUUGGUCAUCUGGUUCAUGUGUUGUUUGAUGUUCUGAAGAUUUCCUUUGUGUCGUACCUUACUCAGGUUUCUGUCUCUUUGUAUUACAAAUCCCUUGAGUAAAGAAAAAAGACCUCCAAAGCCAGAUUUCUUCUCUAGCCUUCAUGAGAUUAAAGGCAUCCAUCGCGACGAUGAUGACCCCUUACAGAACGGAUGUGUUGUCCCUCUUCUGGACCUUCCUCCACAUGGCAAGGUAGAUCAUUGACUACAACAUUGAAAGGACAACUUCUCCCCAAGGUGGUUUUAGUAAUUAAUAACAACAUACGUGUCAUUGAACUAAUGAUCUUAUCUAAGUAUAUUUCAGAAAAUUUCAAAGAUGCAUUAACUAAGGAUUGUGAGGAGAACCCCUAUAUGCAAGGAAAGGAAUAGGAUUGGCCGAGCUUCAAGCCUCAAGACUCUAGAUUUUAUAUGUGUGAGAAAUCACAUUUGAGUCCAUAGGAAAGCCAAUACUAUUAAAAGGGGAUGAGGUAUCUAUGAUGAAUUGGUUGCUCAAA